UUGUCGCUCUGCAUUCACGUACCGCUGCACGACAAGCGAACAAGCGAACAAUUAUUUCAGCUUCAAGCAGAUCAGACAGAAGAGUACACUGGCUGGCAAGUGUUCUGGA